rnacentral:rRNA from 1 species
UACGUAGGGAGCAAGCGUUGUUCGGAUUUACUGGGCGUAAAGGGCGCGUAGGCGGCGCGGUAAGUCACUUGUGAAAUCUCUGAGCUUAACUCAGAACGGCCAAGUGAUACUGCAGUGCUAGAGUGCAGAAGGGGCAAUCGGAAUUCUUGGUGUAGCGGUGAAAUGCGUAGAUAUCAAGAGGAACACCUGAGGUGAAGACGGGUUGCUAGGCUGCCACUGACGCUGAGGCGCGAAAGCCAGGGGAGCAAACGGG